ensembl:lncRNA
GGCGCGUCUCGGCGCUCCCGCUCGCGCUGCGGCUCGCGCUGUCCCCGGCUUGGCCGCGCGGGAUGCCGCCCGGGCGGAGCGCUGACGUCACCGCCAUGCUCUGCACCAGUUCUCCCCCCUCCCUCCCCUUUACACUUCCUCUGUCUGUGGAGCCCACUUGUUGCUCAGGAAAGGCGCAUGCGCGGCAGGACGCCCAGAUUCCUCCCAGUCGGCCCCGCCCCCGCGCCCCCGCCGUCCCCCCCCCCCCCCCCCCACCGUGUGUGUACAACAGCUGAGGCCCUGCGAGCUAAUGCUGGACGUCCUGGACUGGGGGGUGGAAAUUAAACAGACGAUGACCUUUCCUUUCCCCGCCCGGCUUUCCCAAGUAAAAACGCAUUUAAAAACCACAAGCGUCAUUUCCGAUCCCGCUCCCCACCCCACCCCGAGCAGUGCAUUUAAAUGUCCAGUUUCAAGAUUUUCAUUGCGAAUUUCUUCUAGGGUAUUACUCAUUUCGUCUGUAAUCAAACCCCCCCCCCCGUAUGGAUGUUGCAUUCAUUGCUACUACUGAUGCCAAAGCACCUGCAAAAUUAGCUGUUUUCCAUUUGCCCAGAAACUGCCUUUUCGAUUUGUUUUUGUGCUCUGGUCUAGGAACCUGAGUUUCAACGACAGCUAAAUGAAUUCAGGGUGAGCUACUCCUCCUCCCAGUCGCACUCUAAAAAUUUUGGCUGAAUGUCUAAAGAAGCUACGAGCACCCGGAGGCCUUUAAGGAAAACACUGGCUGCGCACAGCUGCAGUUGGGGGCAGGGAUGGGGAAGGUGCUCACGGAGAGGCCAAACAGGGUGGUCAGCAGGUCAUGGCAAGCAGGAGACGUGAUGCUAAUGACUCCGGCUCCACGUGGCGACCAUUCAGGAAAAAGCUGCAAUGUUCUCUCUGCCACAUUAAUCAGAGAAAACCCAUCAAGAGCUGUUGCACGGAGACAGCUUUCCUCCCAGUACCUGCCCUGCAUGCUAAUCACCACCCCUCCUGGCGGUGAGUCAGCUCCAUGCCAGGCGGGUGAGGGAAGGCCAGAAGCACCAGCUCCCUGCGGGUGGGGCGGGGGGGGGGGGGGGGGAGAGCAGCGGGGAGCGGGGGGAGCUAGGCCCCGCCCCCAAACACACUGCCUGUGACCAUCGACCAGAUGAUCGAUGGUGGAGGCCCAGGAAGGUAGGAAUGGCAAAUCCUGGGAGGGUCAAUCCAAAUGUAAACCCUGGGCUCGUUCCUUGGGUCUAGAUCUUUCCCAAGUCUACUAGAGAGAAUUCUCCAGAAGCUGAUCCCUGGACAGAGUCCAGGGUUAAAGCAAGAGGGACCUCACUGCUAGGCACUUUGAUAACAAUAGGACAUUAUCUCUGGUAGAGCUUCACAUGUGGCAGACACACCUGUAAGCACUCUCCAUAUAUUACUCAUUUAAUCUUCAUAAAGCCCUAUGAAGUAAGUACUGUUACUAUUGCCACUGUGCAGAUGAGCAAGGCGACACACAGAGAGGUUAAGUAACCAAUCCAAAGCCACACAGCUAGUAACAACUGACUGGGUUUGAACCCCAGCAGCCAUGCCACAAACCACUCUCCUCC